UGACUACUCCAGGUAGUCCUCUCAUGAGAGGACUCAUACAGUAUUUUCCGUUUUGUGUGUACCAUUAAGUUAGCUGGCAGUAUGUAAGCAACAAUCUGAAUAACCUGUAAACAGGAGGGGGUAAAUUCCAAGCAAGCCUGAAUUAGAAAUGCAACUCAUUUCCCAUCGCCCAGCUGUCUUGUUAACACAUCUAUGCAGUCUCCAUCUAAAACCAGGUGCUGCUCCCAAAGGAGAAAACACUGCCCUCCAGUGGUCCUCAAUGGAGAAAUGGAAAUAGUUUCAGGUGGAAACCAGGCUUCUUGGAAGACUUCAAGCUAUGCCAAAUGGUCUGAUUUCACCAUAGAGAUUCUUUGCUGAGAAGUGUAGUAGAGGAAGAAAGAAAGUCAAACUAUAACUUUUUAUCCUUUAACAAGCAUUUAAAAAAUUUGUAAAGAUAGUGCAUUAUGUAUUUAAGCUGUUUCAACACAAGUUCUUGCCUUUCACUCCCACCAUGUGGCUUACACUGGUAUUACAUUUAUUCUUACAUUCAAAAAUCAACAUUAAAGAACAUUGUUGCAAUAAU